AGUGGUGGCUUAGCGCUGUGGAACCACCCGGCAACAUUCCGAACCCGGAAGUUAAAUGCAGUUGCGCCGAUGAUACUUUGAACAAACAGGGGAAAGUAGGUAGCUGCCACGA
rfam:Candidatus Zambryskibacteria bacterium RIFCSPLOWO2_01_FTLL_45_43 rifcsplowo2_01_scaffold_17224, whole genome shotgun sequence.